UUUUUUUCUGGAACUGUGAUGCAACAUCUGCUGAUAUAUAUGGGGUACUUCAGGGCAUAUGUGCUUACUCAAAAUAUAGUUUUUUCUAAUGUGUGUAAAGCUUUCCACAGAUUUGUCCCCCAUCUUCCAAAAUCUCACACUGUGUUAUAUGUGAUUAUCAGCCUGUACACAUGUGAAUGCUGGCAAUACAGAACAAGCCUCCUUGUUCUUCAUACCUUUGCCUGACAGGGGCAUUUGAAGAGAUGUGCUGCUAAUCACUUUGACUGCAGGAGUCCGGGUAUGUAAGUACAAAGAGAUUCAUUACUUACUGAUGAAGCAGCAGCAAUGAAAUCCAGUGCCAGUGACGUGGAGGCUAGACCUAAAAUGAAAAUAAUCCAAGCUACUGCAAUAGCAGAUUGAUGUUAAGUAAGUAAUUAAAGAAGGAAAGAUGAAUGAAAAAGGAAACAGAUGUAAACCAGCUUAAUAGUUAUUUUGUAUCUUCUUGCCAAAUAUAUCUUAUUAUGAUUCUGUUACUGCUAUUUUAAAUCUCUGCUAAACAAAAUGUAUUAGAUAAGAGAGCUAUGACAUUUUCCUUCAAGGCUAUAACCCUGGUGAUUCUGCCAAGCUCAGCUGAUUGCAUGAACCUGCCAGGAUACUAAAUAGUUAAUGAGGCAACAGCAACUACAUUUAUAAGAAAGAAAAUAAGGUAGAUGGUCAGUUCCUUUUGGCUGAAGUAUUUGGUUUUUAAGAAUUAACACCAAGGCACUGAUAAAACACAUGGUAAUUUCCUGAGGAAAGAUUAGAAGCUUGUGCUGAAGAUAAAACCCCCAAAGCAUAUGUUUCCCUGCCUGGGCUUUCAUGUAUUAAUCCUAUAUGGAUUGAUGGUGUAAUUAGAACAAUUCUGUGACAGUCACAAUUUGAUGAGCACCAUCUUAUAGCUAAGCACACAUUCCUUACUUUCCCAAGACACCGGAAUCUGAAUAUCUCACUGCUUCACUUUGUCCAGUAUCAAAAGGGAGUUUGGUGCUCACGUUUGUCAGCAGGCAAUAAAGACUGGAUUCCACAAAUGCCAUAAGAGAUGAUGCCUCCAGAGCUGUGACCAGGUUGAUCAAGAGAUGAACUCUUCCUUCCCACAGCUCUCAGCCUGGCUCACAUCAGCAAGGCUUUCAGUGACUGUGCUGAUGACAGAGCUCCAUCCUAGACCAGCCUUGUGUGGGCUCUGAAGUGAUUUCUGCAGUGAAGGAACUGUCAUGAGGUGGUCCAACACUGGCUCAUUGCUCCGUGUAUCUGCUGGUCCAACAAUCCCUUUUUAAUCUGACCAAGGCCAUUCUUGGCUGGCAGGACAAGCAUUGCAGAGCUGGAAAGCAGUAGAGGAACGUCUGACAAGUUCAGUAUGGAAUUCCACUCUCAUGGUUCAAAUUUCAACUCUGAUGGCAACAUUUGCAGUUUUGUUUGCAGUAAUUCCUAACAGGAAGAUUACUUCUCCCUCUUGGAUACAUUUGUUUCUUGUAACGCUUGAUGCAGUGCAUCCAUUUGGCAAUAAACCCCUCAUUCGGGAA